UACGGGGGGGGGCAAGCGUUGUUCGGAAUUACUGGGCGUAAAGGGCUCGUAGGCGGCCAACUAAGUCGGACGUGAAAUCCCCAGGCUUAACCUGGGAACUGCAUCCGAUACUGGAUGGCUUGAAUCCGGGAGAGGGAUGCGGAAUUCCAGGUGUAGCGGUGAAAUGCGUAGAUAUCUGGAGGAACACCGGUGGCGGAAGGCA
rnacentral:rRNA from 1 species